rnacentral:rRNA from 1 species
AUUGAACGCUGGCGGCAUGCCUUACACAUGCAAGUCGAACGGCAGCACGGGGCAACCUGGUGGCGAGUGGCGAACGGGUGAGUAAUGCAUCGGAACGUACCUUUCAGUGGGGGAUAACGUAGCGAAAGUUACGCUAAUACCGCAUAUUCUGUGAGCAGGAAAGCAGGGGAUCGCAAGACCUUGCGCUGAUUGAGCGGCCGAUGUCGGAUUAGCUAGUUGGUGAGGUAAAGGCUCACCAAGGCGACGAUCGGUAGCGGGUCUGAGAGGAUGAUCCGCCACACUGGAACUGAGACACGGUCCAGACUCCUACGGGAGGCAGCAGUGGGGAAUUUUGGACAAUGGGGGCAACCCUGAUCCAGCCAUGCCGCGUGAGUGAAGAAGACCUUCGGGUUGUAAAGCUCUUUCGGCCGGGAAGAAAUCGCACGGGCUAAUACCCUGUGUGGAUGACGGUACCGGAAUAAGAAGCACCGGCUAACUACGUGCCAGCAGCCGCAGUAAAAC